rnacentral:lncRNA from 1 species
CAGUCCCCGUCUCUUUGACACGUUCCUCCUGUUAAACUACCUAGUGUUUUCUUAUCACUUUUAUUAUAGUAGAAGUAAGAGGAAAGUGACAUAUCUUUAAUCCUAUGUGUCUAUCAAAAGCGGGAAGAUACGAGACCCCAGGGCGACACGUGUCUCUCGCUAGGUGUUGACUCUCCCAUGUGACCUGCUUAGUCCCUGGUCAGCAUCUGACUUUGCAAACUCUGAUUUAAGCUUUCAACUGUUCUGCUAAAGCAGUAUCAAGAAAGACGAGUGCUUUUUAUUUGAGUUUAUUGGGUUUCCUGACGAGCCGGGUAAACUGAUGCUGGUUUCAUCACUGGGGCCUUCUCUGUAAUCGGUGGGACACACACAUUUUUGAAAUUUCUGUACCAAAGGAAAAAACAAGUCCAAAAUGUC